AUUCUGGCGGAAUGAGCGGCGGACGGGUGAGUAACACGUGGGCAACCUGCCUGUAAGACUGGGAUAACUUCGGGAAACCGGAGCUAAUACCGGAUAGUAUUUCCUUUCUCCUGAUUGGAAAUGGAAAGACGGUUUCGGCUGUCACUUACAGAUGGGCCCGCGGUGCAUUAGCUAGUUGGUGGGGUAAUGGCCCACCAAGGCGACGAUGCAUAGCCGACCUGAGAGGGUGAUCGGCCACACUGGGACUGAGACACGGCCCAGACUCCUACGGGAGGCAGCAGUAGGGAAUCUUCCGCAAUGGACGAAAGUCUGACGGAGCAACGCCGCGUGAGCGAUGAAGGCCUUCGGGUCGUAAAGCUCUGUUGUUAGGGAAGAACAAGUACGAGAGUAACUGCUCGUACCUUGACGGUACCUAACCAGAAAGCCCCGGCUAACUACGUGCCAGCAGCCGCGGUAAUACGUAGGGGGCAAGCGUUGUCCGGAAUUAUUGGGCGUAAAGGGCUCGUAGGCGGUUUCUUAAGUCUGAUGUGAAAGCCCACAGCUCAACUGUGGAGGGUCAUUGGAAACUGGGGAACUUGAGUGCAGAAGAGGAGAGUGGAAUUCCACGUGUAGCGGUGAAAUGCGUAGAUAUGUGGAGGAAC
rnacentral:rRNA from 1 species